rnacentral:rRNA from 1 species
UUGCAGCCGGUUAUUGAUAGCCUUGCCAAGAGAUUGAGGGGAUGGAAGGCCAAGCUGAUUGCGCUCCCGGGAAGGAUCGAAUUGGUCAGAUCAGUGCUAACUGCCAUGGCCAUCUACCGGAUCAUGGCGAUCGCGCCGCCAGUAUGGUUCCUUAAAAUGAUUGAUAGGCUGCGACGUGGCUUCCUAUGGGCGGCAGACGAGUCCUCGCCGGGCGGCAAGUGCCUGGUGAGCUGGAAGCAGGUCUGCAGGCCACGCGAGUUUGGAGGCCUGGGGGUGCAUGACUUAUAGCGCCAAAGGGCCGUGCUCCGCGCCCGUUGGUACUGGAACAACUGGAUUGACGACUCCAGGCCUUGGCGCGAGUUGGUGCUGCCACAUGACCCGGCGGCCGAGGGUAUUUUCAGAGCAUCGACGGAGAUAGUCAUCGGCGACGGGAGGAAAGCGAGCUUCUGGCGCUCGCACUGGGCGCAAGGAUGCAGGCCGGCCGAUCGGUGGCCGGAGCUCUUCGCGCACUGCAACGGGCGCCGGCUUACGCUCCGGACGGCCUUGGAGGGC